CCUACGGGGGGCAGCAGUGAGGAAUAUUGGUCAAUGGACGAGAGUCUGAACCAGCCAAGUAGCGUGAAGGAUGACUGCCCUAUGGGUUGUAAACUUCUUUUAUAUGGGAAUAAAAUGUUCCACGUGUGGGAUUUUGUAUGUACCAUAUGAAUAAGGAUCGGCUAACUCCGUGCCAGCAGCCGCGGUAAUACGGAGGAUCCGAGCGUUAUCCGGAUUUAUUGGGUUUAAAGGGAGCGUAGGUGGAUUGUUAAGUCAGUUGUGAAAGUUUGCGGCUCAACCGGAAAAUUGCAGUUGAAACUGGCAGUCGUGAGUACAGUAGAGGUGGGCGGAAUUCGUGGUGUAGCGGUGAAAUGCUUAGAUAUCACGAAGAACUCCGAUUGCGAAGGCAGCUCACUGGACUGCAACUGACACUGAGGCUCGAAAGUGUGGGUAUCAAACAGGAUUAGAUACCCCAGUAGUC
rnacentral:rRNA from 1 species